rnacentral:rRNA from 1 species
GAUGAACGCUGGCGGCGUGCCUAAUACAUGCAAGUCGAGCGAACAGACGAGGAGCUUGCUCCUCUGACGUUAGCGGCGGACGGGUGAGUAACACGUGGAUAACCUACCUAUAAGACCGGGAUAACUUCGGGAAACCGGAGCUAAUACCGGAUAAUAUAUUGAACCGCAUGGUUCAAUAGUGAAAGACGGUUUUGCUGUCACUUAUAGAUGGAUCCGCGCCGCAUUAGCUAGUUGGUAAGGUAACGGCUUACCAAGGCAACGAUGCGUAGCCGACCUGAGAGGGUGAUCGGCCACACUGGAACUGAGACACGGUCCAGACUCCUACGGGAGGCAGCAGUAGGGAAUCUUCCGCAAAGGGCGAAAGCCUGACGGAGCAACGCCGCGUGAGUGAUGAAGGUCUUCGGAUCGUAAAACUCUGUUAUUAGGGAAGAACAAAUGUGUAAGUAACUAUGCACGUCUUGACGGUACCUAAUCAGAAAGCCACGGCUAACUACGUG